CCCCCCCCCCCCCCGGGUGGGAGGAGGAGGGAGAGAAGGGAGAGGGAGGGGCGCGGGGGCGCGGCCGGGUGUUGUGCGCGCUCCCCGCCGGCCGCUCGCCCCGCUGGCGGGAGAGUGAACUUUGACACGACUGCUGCAACUUAGCGCACGUCGCCAUGGCGACCGCGCGGCCUUAUAAGGCGAGCCGCCGGCGUUUGACUGGGCGAAAGCUCCGCGCGCUCCCGCCCCCGUCGGUCCUCAUUGGGCCGCGCGCGACGCCCUCUGUGCGCGGCCCCUGCCAUGGCCGCCGCCGCGCGCUCGCCCGCCCCGCGCGGUCCUAAAGGCCGCCGCUGUGAGGCCGCGCGCGGAGCUCGGCCCCCGCUCCGGGAGCCCGAUCCGGGUUCACCUGGCGGCGGAGGGGAACGAGGGGGGGAAAGAGGAACGCGAUGACACCAACGCUCGGCCCCGGGCCCUCGGGGUCACGGCCGCGCGGGGCAGGGCGAGGCCGGGCCGGGCCGGGCCGUUCCGCGGCACCUGCGGAGCCCUCCGCGCUUGUCCCCGCACGGCUCCGCGCCUCGCACCGGCUCAGCCGUAACUUUGUGCUCUUUCUAUCUCCCUUUCUCUCCUCGCUCCACGCGGUACCGCAGCCCCUCACAGCACCGCCGCAGCGGGAGCCAUCCCGCACGGAGCGGGAGCUCCGGCUCCGUAUCGCGGCCGACGCGGCGAUCGGACCGAGAGAGGGCACGGAACAGCGUUAGCAGCCGGCGGGCAGCGCGCAGCCGGAGCCGAGCAGCCCGCGGGGCACGGCCGCAGCCCCGCAGCGCUCGGUAGGAUCCGAAGGGCUCCGCGCCCCGUGCUCCGUCCCGGUGUCACAAGCGAGAACACGCCUGGCAGCCGCAGGUGCUGCGGGUUCACCGGGCACAAAGCCGGGACCUCGCGGGUGGGGAUGCUCUGCGGCUCCGUUACACGGAGCUGACCGAGCACUGCGACCCGCGCCCGAGGUCCGGGAAAGGAAAAGGCGUCUGUCCCCGGUAAAAGGGUGUGAGCGCCUUCUGGUUCGCGAGUGACCCUAAGGAGGGAUGGAGCACAAGGCGCGGAACGGUCCCACAUUGCUGCUGAGGUUGGAUUUCCAGAGGAAUAAAAACCAAAUAAAGGCUUUCCUGCCUCGAACCUGACAAAGUAAACAGGAUUAAUUCGCCAUGUGCAAAAACAUUAAUACCGUCCUCGGCGCGGAAAUCAGAAGGGAAAGCGGUUUUCGCAGCACCCACGAUAUUAAUACACGAACGUAGCAAUGCAAAGCCACUGAUACACGCUCACACACCGCCGUGCCGCCGACCGCUCGAGCAUUAAUGAAGAAUGCCCCGCAUUAACUAUUUGCUCUUCGAGGGAUGGAGCGGUGCAACUCUCUAUUAGCACCAUUCGCCGCUUUGCCAUUUGUUUGUGAGUGGGCUGAGGCAGAGCGGGUGAAUGGGAAAAAUGAACUACGGUUCAUUUUGCUAAAUCCUAUUCGAGACCCGAGCGCCUCGCCAAGAAGGGGACAUUCUCCGCUGUCCUUCUCCGAGCCCCGUCACAAUAGAGAUGCUCUGUUUAGAAGUAAGGCUCUAUUGUUUUUAUUCCAAAUAAAUAAGCGCAUCCCUCCUGCCAUUUCACUGCAGAUGUAAAUUUAUUGUAAUGAGAGGGAGAGGAAGGAUUUAUUUUGCUAAAAUAGAGUUGGGGAUAGAGCCGGUGUAAAUCUUGGGGUUUUUGAAACAAGGAGGAAGAGAGGGAAGCUGCUUCCCUGGCAGAAAGCUGCCUCGCAGCCCUCUAAUUCUUUCUAGAUUAAAUCGCAAUAUGAAUAGAGCAUCGAACAAAUACCGAGUUUCGCUCUGAACUCAGUGGAAAGCAGUUACGUCUAACAGAAUUCAAUGAAUUCCUCUUCUCCCUCAAUGUAGUAUGUGUGUGUUUUUCUCUUCCACCACACUGAAGUUCCAUGAAUAGGGAAAGUGGCUCCUAUUGUGUGCCUCUGAACUUCCAAGUCAAUGCAAUUUUUAACCACUGGCUUGUGGUACUUUGAAAAUCACCAGGGGCUGUCAGAGUUGGGUCCUCUGAAAAAUUUACAGUGCUAAAUCAGAGCAUAUGCUGUGAGAGAGGGAAAAAAAAUUGCUUAAGAUUGGAGCAAGUACAGUAUCUGGCUGCCCCCUAGUGUAAGUCUCUUAUCUGCCUAAAAUUCAACUUUAAAAGAAAAGGAUCUCUUAAAGGGAAACGACUUUUGGCUCACGUAUGCAUACGAGAAUGAAACUUCUGUACAUUUUAAUCUGAUUAAUUCCUAAGGAUUUAAAAUUAAUUGGCUUGGGCACUCCUAGACCGGACUAUAAGAUUUCUGCGUCAAGGUUCCUGCCAGCCCUGUGCCGAAUAGAUCUGCGCCUUUUUGCCGUAAUAAAGCAAGGAUAAAUAACUGCCAUAAAGCCUCCGCCGCGCCGCCAACCACACCUUCGGAGGAAGGCAGAAAUAUGUGACCUGCUGAGCGAGGUGGGUACUUUCUGGAUUUUGGAAGAUGCCAAUGGCUUACAAUGGUGAGGACUGGGCCAAAAGCAGAUCCAGCCUGGAUUCCUCCUUCUGUGUACUCCUCUUGUGAGCAAUGACUGCUGAUGGACCCCAGUAGUGUGGGCUUUUCCCUCUUCCUGCUCCCCACCAACAGAUCAUCAGGAGGGCCUGAGAUAAUUCUGUGGAGAUGAACUACCACAAGUCAGUGUGCUCACGGGGACUAAACAUGUGAAGACAGAGUUGAUGGAUCUGGAGCCCUGACUGCUGCCCAGCAAUGGCGCAGCAUGGACUGCUUUCAUCCUGGCUGCUCUUCAAAAGUGCUUUGAGCUGCAUGAAGACGUAAGAAUCAGCACCAAGUGCAUGACCAAGUGUUUACUCCUCUUCCAGACUAUACCUGAAACAUGGUGGGAAGUUUCAUUCUGCGCUUUUGCAGGUUCCUGAUGCCAAAGGUCUGACCUUACAAUGAGCAGCACACGGGGUGAGAUCGGGCACUGCGCUGAGUUUCACACACAGCUAUUUUGGUAACCAGAACUGUGUAGUCAGGAAAGUACAAGCACAGAGAAGAUUUAUCAGCAUAUUAACUCUAUCAGUGCUGUGUCCCUAUACAGGUUCCUGUGCCUAUUUCAGAUCAUAAAUACAGAUCUGCAGAAAUUUGUUUGCAGGAGAGGCUUAGCCUGUCUUACUACCACACCACUGUCCUUGCUAAUGCACAUACUUCCAGCUCUGAUGCACUGGGACCACCACUGCUGGUUUAAUAGCCAAUUUCCAGCGAGAUCUUGUUGCCUAGAUCCUGCCAACAACCAGGGAACAAGCACAAGCCAGCAGAGAAAAUGAACGACCAGAAGUACCAGGAUCCUGUGCCAUCCUAUACUCUGCUGUCAGGAUGGGGUCACAACUGCCAUUUGGAGAAGCAACUACCAUGGAGGUGUGAACAGAAUACGAAUACAACUCUGUAUGCAUUCCUUCCUGCUGCAACAGCAGUUAUACAGGAUGUUUGAAACCAUGCAGUCAUUUCCAUUCUGGAUUUUGUGAGGAUUUAUUCUUGCCUGAGUGAUGAAUCAUCCAUACAACCCUCUGUGGAUUCCAGGUGUGCCUCACUCUGGCCUGAGAUCACAUGUUAAGCGAUGCAAUGACAAACCGGUUUCCUCACCCCACAGCUGAAUGUCACAUGGCUGCCCUGGGUGCUGGAUUAUCCCCAAAUCUUUGGGAAUUAUGGAAAUUCUGUUGACUCCAGUCUCUGCUUUCUGCUGGAUUUUGGAAGAUGUUUGGGCAACAGGUUUGCUGAAGAUGGAACACUGAUGAAAUGGGUAAUUUUAUAAACGCAUCGAGGAGGGUAAGUGUCCAACAGAAAAGAACAGAGAACACACAGAUGCAGAAAUUAGUCUGCUUGAAACAAACCAAGGAACGCCUGCUAAAGAGUCACGAAUUUCUUUGUAAUUGUUGCCGCACAUGGAACACUUUUUUUCUUAAAUCAUCUACAGAAACUCUGCAGCUGAAGGUGUUUUGAUAGCGGUUAUGAUCAGAGCACCACCACUUCUCAUACGUGAGAUACAACAUUGGGAAGGAUUUUUUCACUCCUCAAAUCACUCUUCUGAGGCUUUAUAUCAAUCUCAAGCAAUUUGCCUAGCCGUUUCUAUGAUAAAAUAGAUGUUUUUAUCCAUUUAGAAGAGCAAUAAAACUAAGGAAAAUUCAGGCAGAACAUGGUCUUUCUUUAAAGCUCCAACUCAGAUAGUGAGAAUCUGAUUUGUGCUGUAUUUCCCUCAUGAACUCAACUUUGCGUAGUGCAUUAAGUGUUGUAAUAAUGCAAAUCAAAUACAAAUUUUAAUAACUCCUUCCAUUAAAAUGAUCUAUUAAAGUUUUAAGAGUCCAACAUUUAUGAGCAUUAUUCUAAUUGCAUGAUUUUGCUCGGGGCAGGUUUUACAGAUCUGCCUGAUCAUUGGAUAUUUGCACAUUUAGGAUUAUUUUAAAUUAAUUUUUGGAAGAGUUUCAGUCUCAGUAGCAACAGUUGUUUGAUAGUUGUGUAGCUACGCAUAUGAUUCCACAUGAGAAAAAAAUUUACAUACAUUUAGAACUCUGGGAAAGGAGGUGGAAGAGGUUUAUAGAAUGACAAGCGACGUGAAGUAUGUUCUGAAGAGGAAAAAUGUUUGCUCACUUUAAUACAAGGAGCAAAAAUUUGUUAUGCAAUACAGUUAAAUGGUGGUAUCUCUGCCACAGAGCACCAAAAAUAUAAUCUUAUUAAGAAAAGCUUUAGAAUUCAAUGAGUACAGCUCCUUUGAUACCAUUAACCCUUCUGGUUUCAUGAAACUUCUUGUAGGAUGGAUUUCUAAUAGAAGGAUGCACAAUGGAACUCACACACUGGCUAAAAAGGCCACCACCAGUGCUUGUCAUUCCUGAUCUGCAACAUCACCUGCUGCUCCGGACCAGAAAAGGGAGCAAAGAAGAGAAAUACGUGUUUGUCAUUGAACUGAACUGAGAAGAAGGAAGACGAGAACGAUAAGAUCAUCGCCUGCAGCACUUUGUUUAUGAGAACAUCCUUCCAGUGAUAUAUGCCUGCACCAGGUGAAAGUAUUGUGUCACCCCUAACAUAUUUUAAAUGCCAGGGCUGUCAUGCAAGAAGACAAUGAUGAACAAGUUUAAACAGAAUAUGGUAUUGUAGCCAUGUGCAGUGUUACCUUUAAAAGGUCUGUAUCAGUAGCAUUUCUUAACAAAGUGUUUCCGAACUGUUACAUUCCCCUACAGAACAACUUUCACACACUCAAUGAAAUUAUUUCUAUUGUACAUGAAGCCUGGAAAACCAUAUGUAACAAUGUAUAUGUAUUAAACAUAAAGUAGGACAUUUUCUCAUGCAAGUUUUCCAGGCUAUUUCACAUGACUUCCCAACCACACUAUCUGAUCUUCUCCUAACUCCUCUCCUAACUCCUUGGAUUACAGUUUAGGGACUACACCUCACUUGGCAAAUAGGUAAAUAAAGGGACAUUCACAGUGUGCUAUGAAGAGCAGGAACCUGCCCCAGGUCAUACUGCAGGCCAGAGGUUUGUUUGGUUGAGCUCUGGUGUGUUCCUGUGAGUUGAAUGCCCAUUAACCAGCUGCUGGAGCUCUCAGACUGCACCACCUAGUUUAAUUUCACACAAAAGGACUCGCAUGCUGUGGAGCACAGAAUGCAGGGUCAGCUGGAGAUUUCAUUUAAAAUACACUCCAGUCCCAAAACAAAAUAGUACUUGAGAAACACCUCUUGUCACAAAGCAGGUAUGCACAGAACUAUUGGCACAUGGCAGUUUUCUUCCCAGAUAAAUAUCUCAAGCUUAACUGCAUGAACACCAUCACUGUGCUACGAGGCCAUUGCACAACAUGACUCAUUUUCCCAGACUGACAGUUCAGAGAGUCUUGGGAACACCAGCAUCCAACACACGAUACUGAACACAUGCAUGACCAUGUCAACCUCGGAUUCAGCUGAGAGAGCUUUAACCACCUAUGUCUCAUGGAAUGAAGGCAACCAUUACAUCAGUUUGCCAUCAUUGAGGUCAAAGCUGUUCCGUGAACCAUCCAAGACAGUACUAAUUUACAGGAGAAGGGCAUUCCUGAUUGCCUGAAAAGUGCCCUCAAAGCUGGGAUUCCUUCAGCACUGACUGACUGAGGGGGUCCUAUGUGGGCCUGUAUAACCUGUUCAACACCUUCACAUUAGUUUUCCUUUCUGUAGAAUGGAGACACCUGAUUUUUUUUUACUCACAAGGUUAUUAGAAGGACUUUCCAAUUAAGGUUCUUUACAAAUGAAAGUGUCUUGUGAACAGUAUUUAAUCAUCUGGCUAAAAACAGCCUCCAAUUUCUUCAGGCAGAUCCUCAGUUUUCAUGGGGACUGGUCAAGGUGUUCAGUUUACGUAAGGCUGCAGGGUCUUACGCUGCAUCUUUAAGACAUAGUUUACUUCUGAAUCAGUAAACGUACUAGACAAAGCAGCCAUUAUUUAUGCAUUCCUGCAUACAUGGCAAGGUGAAAAUAAUAGAAUAAACAUCAUAUACUUCAUUAUGAUAUCGGUUUACACUUCCAGGGUACACAAAAAGAGGCCAUUUCAUCAAGCUAAUUGCCUGAAAGUAAAAGAGAGAACUUUAGCUAUUAGUCUAUUAUGGGGCUUUUUUCUUAAUCACAAAUAGGGGCCGUGUGUCCCCAGGGGGAUGUGUAUUCUAAUUUACAAUUGAACUACAGAUCAGAGCAAUCAAUCUUGUGCAGCACUUUUACAGUGUAAUUGCUGCAACAUAACAAAUAAAAAAAAAGCAGCCUAAGUCGAGUUUCAGCUUGAGGUGGAGAUAUUUACCAGGCAUUGGGUCGGGGUGGGAGGGAAGCAGAGGCACCACAGCCAUGAAUAUGCAAUGAGGGCUCAUUAGUGCCCCAGUGUUGCCAUGACGAAUGGCAUUAUCCCCAGCCUGGUGCAGCCUAAACAUGAAUUUUAUAACGAUCCAUUUAUCAUGACUUGUCAUGGGGUUCUUUACUGUACUUUCUACUGGCUCUCACACCUUCCUCCAUUAUCACCUCAGAAUUCCUUUUGUUAUUUUGUCUUUUUGGUAAUGAAGCCCAACUUAUAAGAGAAGAUGACUGCAAACAGCAGUUUGCUGGUGUGCCAGAGCAACUUAAGGCUUCCUCAGCUGGAGACCCACUGCCAAAUGCUUAGGUGGUCUUCAGCCCACUUACCAGGGGAUAAGUAUCCUCGUUGUCACAAAUAUCUGCAGUCUUGUCAGUUGACUCAGCAGAAAAGUCUUAGAUUGACCGAGCAUCAAGACAACUAUCUUUCCAUUCUGGCAGAUGUGAUGGAUGAAUCUGUUUUGUUGACCUAGGUCUGUCUAAAAGUGCUCUUCCUCAGCCCAUGCCAGUGAUGUGUGCAGUAUAAAAGUCCAACCCUUGCCUCUACAUUGACACAGGUACUUAACCAGGUAAAUAGACAAAAACUGCAUUCUGCCUAACUCCUGUUAAACUGGAAAAAAUACUGGAUGCAAAACUGAAGCAACAGAAAAAGCAUUUCCUCUCCAGGAGCAAGAGCUAAUAACCAACUCCAUAGGAAAACAAAGUUACCAAUAAGUAAUUAGUGUGUCUGGCUUGAGCUCAUUUUUGGUCACUGCACGUUGUCUGUUUUACCGCUGUCCCUUUGGCCUACCCGAUUCCACAUUUAAUAUACUACUGCUUAUAAAGAAAUCCCUGCGGCUCUGGAGGCUGAAUUGCCAUGCCGGGGUAGGGCCUGCUUUCCAGUAUAUAGAAGAUUUCAUUUCCCAAGUUACAAAUCUGACAUCUCAUGGCCAAAUCCAUGCCAGUUUAUUUCUGGGAAGUCUGUCCUCAUUAUUUACCCCAAAUAGUUUCACUGUCAGUAUGCCUUUUUUCCAGUAUGAAGUGACUGCAGCAUCUGAAAGUAUCAAGCCUCUCUUUGUUGGAUUUUACACUUUUGCUAUUACAAGAAUUUGUCUUUGGGGACAGAAAAAUCAAGCAACUUAUUUCCAGCUAUUACUUGGAUAGGACUUCAUGUUCUUAAACAAGUUGUGAGCUCCCAUGAUCUCCGAAAACAACUCUCCCGAGAUCUCACAUCGGGGUAGUCCUACAGUUCUUUCAUUACUCUACUGGAUGUUUGAAAAUAUUAAAAGGCAUCGAACAUCCCAGUCCAGCAAUUUAUACACUCGGAGUCUGGUGCUGUAGCCCUCAAAGCCUCUAUUUCUUCCACAAAAUCCGCACUUUGCUAUUACCGUCACCAAGACAGGCAUGUGUUUCACUAGAGGAGCAGUUUGUCAAAGCAACAGUCCAUUACCCAGAGAUUCAUCACAGGUUCUCACUUCAGCACACAAUGGGAGAGAGCCUGCAUGCCAGAACCUAAGGGGGGAAGGAAAGCUUCCUUGCAACGAGGUGCAUGAGGUAUGAGGCACACUGAUUUAACUCAGGCAUAGCUGAUUAGGGCAGCAAAUGCUGAUGUGUUUGUGGUAUCCCUUCUUUUUUUUUGCCUGCCAGGAAGGUCAAACUGCCAUACCUGACUACAGAGCCACUAUCCACAGCUUAUAAGAUGCAGUAAGCAAAUGGCCACGUUAGUUGGACUUAGUGAUUUGUAGUCCCACAUAGUGAGUUUUUUCUAUUACUUUAUAUCAAUAGCUGGGGGUCCAUCAGGGAAAAAAUACUCAUCUUUCUCCUGCUAUCAAAAAGACAGAUAUUAAAACAAAGAUUAUUAAAGGCCAGCCAAUGCAGAUGACAUCUAUAUCUAUGUCACUGUAACACCCCGUGCCACUACAAUCACAUUGUAGAUUUCUAGGUUGAGAUCAACAACCAUAUGGAGGGCAGCUGCCUGAGACAGAACAGCAUUUACUGUUCCUCAGUCAAUCUACAAAUGGCAAUAAUUAAAAUAAAAUUCCAAUCCUCAAAAUAUUAAGUCCUUGGUUCUAAACCAACAGGCCUCAGAUUAUAGGAAACACCCAAAUUUCGUGUGGAAAAAAGCCUCUGUCACAUGAAUCCAGAUCCCAAUAUAAAUAUCAAGUGUGAGAUCUUUUGAAGAGAAAUGAAAAAAAAAAUAGGCAAUAUUUUUAAAAUGGAAGAUAAGCUCAUAGUCUGGGACUAAUUGUUUAUCCAGAAUUCAAGGGAAGCUUAAUAACUGACUGCCUUAGAAUCAGAAGCUGUCUGUGAGCAAACUCACUGGAAAGUACUGCACCAUCUUAAUGCAAUACAACCCUACCCACAAAAAUAUGCAUACUUACAUCCAACAGUUUGCUACAUUUACAGACAGAAUUCAUAGGAUGCAAGAAAAUAUAGAAAAGAACUGCAGGUGUGAUUGCUAUAUAAUGGUGUUCAGUAUCUGUGCGAUUGACAUAUUUACAAGAAAAACUAAAAAAAAAAAGCAGAUACUAUUUCUCCGUAUAAAAUAGCAUAUUUAAAGGCACUGGAUAAAAUGCACGGUUGGAAUGAGUUUUGUAUUCUGUAAUUUGAACACCUAGACAGUGCCAGGAACACAUCCCACCAUGCCUGCAAAGACUACCAGUUGUACUACAUAAACCUGAGCAGCCUUUUAUUUUUGCUACCUUUUUUCUGUGUAGAAAUCUCUCCCUUCUGUCUUAAUUGUAUUUCAAAAGUGGCCAAGUAAUGUUUUCCCCACUGUUCUCCCUCCAAGGCUUAGCUUUAGGCACCCUAAUAAAUGAACAGUCUUUUCCCUGGUUCUAUUUCAGUUUUGUCUUUAAGCUCUGUCUUUCCUUAUCUGGAGCCAAUGGCUCUCUGCUUUCCACUUUUAAACAAACAAACAAAAUGUCCUUCUCCACUGUCCUCCUCUUAUCCCUCCACUUUCUUUAAUGACAUCUUCAGUCAUUAAUGAGUUAAUAAAAAUCUCAAAGUCAUCUGGGAAUAGAUAAGGGGAAAGAAAGAGGAGUAUUGUACACAUAAUGACAGGCUCCCUGCUGGCCCUAAGAUGUCAUGGGUCAGCCAUGUUAAGAAUGUGUGUGCCCAAUCAUCUGCUGAUUUUUAUCAGCAAGGCCUCAAGCAGAAUCUGACACGGCCAGUUUGGGAGUUACAAUGAAUAAACAAUGACUUCUUGGAUUGUUGGCGGCUGUAUGAUAGAGUGAGAGGGUUUAUAUAUACUAAAACAUGAUGACAUUAGCAAUCAAUAUACCAAUUACUGGACAAGUUAUUGGACGAAGAAUGCACAUGUCUUGAGCUUUGUGCACUUUGAACAUGCUACCAGUGAUGGAGACCACAAAUAAUGGUGCUUAACCCUUCCCAAGCUAAAUAUGCUAUUUCUUGACAAUGCCUACAAGUUUGAUUGCAUGGGGAGAAAAACAACAACAAACAACUGGUCUUGAUUCAGCAUAGUAAGUCUUUCAGAUAGAAGACACGAGCUUGAUAAAUUUAUUUUUCAUUAGGACUUAAAGAAAGGAAUAGAUUUUUCAAGUGAGCCUUUGGAUGCUUGAACAACAGAUAAUUUAAAUCGUUCCCCAUAAAAUUUCAGAGGAAAUCAAUUUCUUUUCACCCAAGCACCACUAGCACACCACAAACUUCAUCACUGAGAAGUUAGAACACAUUUUUAUAGGAUCAUUUAGACAAAUACCCCAACACGCUUCACUUGCUUACUCCACAAUAGAGGAAGACAGAACUCUAAGAUACCACUUUUAUUCCUGUGCUACCAGAAAUACAUUUCUGCAUCUGUUUAAUGUCAUUUUCUUGCUCUCUUUAGAAAGCUCAAAAUAUUCAGUGUUUACAAGUUUAUCUUCUAUUAUUCUGGAAGUGAUUGUGAAGAUUCAAUGUCAGCUUCAUAAUUGAAACCAGAAUGAAAUGUGGUUAAGUCAGUCACCUCAUUCAAUGCACAAAUGCAGAAGACAACUGACAUGGAGACUGAAGACGAGGACAAAGCUGCCACAUCUGGGGCUCAGCAGAAGCACUGGGCUAAGUGGUGUCAUCUCUCCGUUCAGAGAGACAAGUAUACAUUCCAAUGGAAAACUCAUGGGCUUUGCCUUGAGAUGAAUCAUUAAAAUUAUGUGGGAAAGAUUUUAAGAUGGUUCUCCUUUUCUGUAUAGCAUUACAAAUGACAGCUUUUACUGAGAUCUGGGAAACAGAGCUGAGGAGGCAGCAAUGCCACAUGCAAUUCGACUUUUGCUCAGGUGAGAGCAAACAAGGCAAGGCAUAAACAUACAGUGACUGUGUCUCCUAGGGAAUCGGACAACCGUAGAAAUUGUGCAAGAAAACCCAAAAUGUUCUAUGUACUUUGUGUAGAUGAGAGGCUAAAUAAAAUCUUAAGAUGCAUUUCUUACAGACUGCUCUUGUAAUGCAAAGCUAAAGCGUUGGUCUAAAUUACAAUCAUAUCUGCUCCAGCUUCCGAGCACUAAGCACCUCUCAGAGCUGUGUUGGACUGUAAUGGCAGAGGGAUCAGUCCCAGACAUAGGGGAAAAAUAGAUGAGACCACAUCUGGUUUUAACUGCUGCAGUUAUGAAAUGCUCAGCUGCAUCCUCUCAAAUGGCUCUUCCCAUUAAGUUCAUGAAAAGUUUGGAAGUGAAUUUGUCCAGCACGUCUGAUAUGAAUAACAAAAUGCUUUUAAAUGUAAAUGUUUCAUAAAAUAGCACCAUUAUCAUACAUUACAGUGAGUACAGUUGAAAAAACUCAAUCCCUCCUCCGUAAUUUACAAUUAACUUUUUGCCUCAAGGUAACAGCUACAUUCACAAAAAUAAUGGUAAUAGAUUGACCUUGUUAUGAAUGGAUAACAAGCUGGAAACAAUACAGUUUGUCACAGAGCAUUAACUGUUACUGUUGAAAUUGUAAAUAAUGCGUAGAGAACAUACAAUGUAAAUGGCUCCCCUUAAAAAUAUUAAUUAUGUCGAUUAAACACUUGAUGCAUAAUGGAUUACUCUGAAAUCUACUUAAGUCCAUGUCAAACUGAAUACACCACUGCCUAAGAUCCUUUUCUGCCCUGACUGCUCAUUGUGAACCUAGCAUUUACAAUGGAAUACAGCCUUAAAUAAAAGAUAUUUGGCCAA